GACCAAGAAAGGGGUGUGAGAAUGGACGACGCCAUCUUGACUAUCGCUAAUCUAGUAAAGAUCAAACCCACUUACCUGUGACGUGCUACUCGGUACAACGUAGUCUUGUUGCUGUCUCCUGACGGCUACCGUAGUCAUUCCGACCACUCCAGACGCGAUUCAAGUACGAAUUACUCGCCGUUCGACGCUUUUUGCGCGGAUCCAAGAUGGCGACGAGCAACCAACUUCAUCUAUGCUGCACGUGGCGAGUGGUAAGGUAAGAUCAAUGCGCGUACAACAUAGUGCCUAUUACGCGUCGGUGCCAGUUCGUUCAAAUAUCCGCUCUAUCACGAUUCUUACCGCCCAUCCAGAAAAAAACUUAAUUUUAUUGUCAUCCCAAUGAUAACGAUUGAAAUGAUAUGUAUGUAGUCCAAGUUUAACAGUUGGGCGGAGGUGUGGAAGAAUACACCAGAUGUCCGAAGGCGGGACUACUUAAUUCGGUUGUCCUCCCCCCCGCCCGUUCGGUAGGCGGGACACAAAGAAUGCGGACACAAAACCAACUCCCGCCUCCAGUUUUCGAGAUGAAGGCCGGAAAAGUGGAAAGUAACGUCGCGUGACCACAUCCCCUUACCACAGUCCCUUUGGCCAAAAGACACAUCCGAACAAACACCGCCCUAAUUAACUCGGCGGGCGCAACGUCGCCUUUUUAUCUUUUCCCUUUUCCGCCGUGCGUGACGCUUUCCUAUGGCCCACGGGGAGUUGCCAUACGCGUCAGGCCCAAUAUCGACUUCACAAUUCACGCUUUGCUGGCCGUUUCUGCCUGGUGUUAUAUCACGGCCGAUAACACAGCGAUGUUACGUCACCCAAAACAAAAUAUGCUGUUUCCUGUCUGUUGGCGCCAGAUAGACAAAGCGUUUCCUCUUAUUUAGCGGGAUAAAAUUUUGAAAAUUUUACAGUAUAAGCAAGGCGGUUAUCCGUCGGGCGGAUCACUUCCGUCACUCGUCUUUCAUCGAUUAUGAAAAACAGGUAGUGGACAAUGUUGGCGCCAGUCCAGACGUGACGUAACGAACCGGAAUUUAAAGACGCUAACGAAGAAACAAGGCGGUUACGUUUUAGGCCGAGGCAACGCCCGUGAUGCACCGACGAACACCCUCACAAUGUGGGAGGCGGACCCAGGGCCCUAUGAGACAACGAUCCGCUGCGACUCGACGCCUAAGGUAGACCCAAAGGGCGUUUCCGUUGCAGAUGCUCCGCGCCCAUGCUCGUACCUCCCCUGCACGCCAUGUGGUAGAUAUCCGACAUUUUCGGCACUAUUCCCAAAUCCCGAUCGCCACUGUAUUGUGUUUCGGGUUCUGACGCCAUAACAAAGCAGUGGUGGAGUGAUGGUGGCCAGAAUGACCCCAAAAUACGGCGGGUGGAGAACAGGUUUUCCUUCCCCCUUCGGCACGCAACACGUUUCAAAAUUAAAAAGUUCACGUAAGAUACUUGCCUGACACUGGAGCAUGGAGUUGUUAGAUGAAUGGCGAAGAUAACAUCCAAGUUUUGUUGUUAAUCUAUCGUAAUCGUUUCUUUUUUCUUGGCUUUUGG
rnacentral:lncRNA from 1 species